rnacentral:lncRNA from 1 species
AGACACGCACGGCGCUCAGACACGCACAGCGCUCCCUGGGCGACGGCGGCCUAGCAACGACCGCUGCCCUCAUCGAGAGCUGGUUUCCUUCGUGACGCGCCCGAGGGCAGGGCUGUCUUAAGGGGUGAAAGGGCUGCGGAGAGAGAGGAAUGGAUGGCAGUGGUGGCCGAGCGGUUUGGCGGAGGGGGAAGAUGAGGAGCGCUCCAAAAGCGACUGCGCAGGCGCACCCUGGGCUCCGACCCUCGCAGGUUACCCAGGGUCCCAGCUCCAGGGGAAGAGGAGCGGCGCUGGCGGAACACCUGUCCAUGCUGAAGGGACAGCGCCAGAGAAGGCUGAGCCAUUUACCUGGCAGUGAACUUGCAUAAAGGUGCGAACCUACUGAGGACUGCCUUAGCCGCUCACCUGGAAUUCCCAGCUCAAGUUUCUGCUCAGAAUAAUGAUAGGUAUGAGCAUAUCAGAUUUCCAAGAACCAUCUCCCUUUUAUGAGCAUUGCAUUUUCCAACUUUGUUUAAAUUCACUUUCAAGAGCCAACUGAUGUGAAGCUUUACUGACUCCUAGGCAGGAAGAGUUGCACCCUCAUUUCUGCUCCUAGAAUAUUUUGUUUGCACAUAUAAUGUAUUUUAGUGGUGUAUAUGUUUGUCUUCCACUAGCCUAUCAGCUUCAGCUUUGUGCUCCUAACAUGUAACACAAUACUUGACCUAUGAUAAGUGCCUGUAGGGGUAAAAGAGUUUAUAUGGGGGAGCCAUACUUUAAAGAGCCUCUAAUCUACUUUGAAAAAUAGCCUACAAGCAGCUGGAAACAAUGAAGGCAUUAAGUGGGGGUAAAAUACUUUCACAAUGGUGUUUUGAAGAUUAAAUGUUCAGAAUAAUCUUUGAGCAGAGGUGGGAGAUUAGGAGCAAAGAAACGAAUUAGGAGAAAAUUAUAACAGUCUAAGCAUAGGUGAUUAGAUUCUAGAUUAGGGUGCUGACAAGGUAGGUAAAGGAGUAUUUCUGGAAACACACACACACACACACAUGCAAAAGAGUCUACAGCAUUAAGUUAUUCUCUGUAAAAGAAUACAAUCCUUUAGGACAUGACCUAUGUCUGUCAUCAUAGGCUUUCCUAGUGAUUGAUACGAAGCCCAGUAAGUUGAUUACAUAAAAAUGAUAGAACACAGGGAUAAAUGACUCCAAUGAUGACUCCAGGUGUGCCAACAUGACAAUUAUAGAUGGCCAAUGGAUGGUUUAAUUUUGGAUGUGUUAAGUAAGCAUGGGAUGAAAAUACACUCAAAUAACCAUAUCUAGGCAGUGACUGAAAGUUCGGGCUAAGGCACAGGAGAAAAUUCAGCACAUAGCAGAAAUAAAACUGCAGUUUCCUAAGCUUUAUCUCCAGAGAUUCUGACUCUGGUUCUGGGCUAAGACAUGAAUUUGCAUUCUUAUCAGCACCCAAGUGAACCUGAUGCAGGUGACUGACCUUUUGAGAAAUACUGUGAUAAAUAUUUUAUCAGGUAGGAGUUGCUGUUGUGUGCACAGUGGAGACGAAUCUGACUAGUAUCCAUGAGGAUGCGGGUUCAAUCCCAGUAGGUUAAGGAUCUGGCAUUGCUUGGAUCUGCUGUGGCUGGGGCUGUGGCUGGCAGCUGUAGCUCUGAUUCGAUCCCUAGCCUGGGAACUUCCAUAUGCCACAGGUGUGGCCCUAAACACACACACACACACACACACACACACAC